GGGGAUAUAGCUCAUUGUUAGAGCUCUUGCCUCGAAUGCAGAAAGCCCUGGGUUCAAUCCCCAGCACCA
rnacentral:tRNA from 1 species